rnacentral:rRNA from 1 species
GAUGAACGCUGGCGGCGUGCCUAAUACAUGCAAGUCGAGCGAACAGACGAGGAGCUUGCUCCUCUUACGUUAGCGGCGGACGGGUGAGUAACACGUGGAUAACCUACCUAUAAGACUGGGAUAACUUCGGGAAACCGGAGCUAAUACCGGAUAAUAUAUUGAACCGCAUGGUUCAAUAGUGAAAGACGGUUUUGCUGUCACUUAUAGAUGGAUCCGCGCCGCAUUAGCUAGUUGGUAAGGUAACGGCUUACCAAGGCGACGAUGCGUAGCCGACCUGAGAGGGUGAUCGGCCACACUGGAACUGAGACACGGUCCAGACUCCUACGGGAGGCAGCAGUAGGGAAUCUUCCGCAAUGGGCGAAAGCCUGACGGAGCAACGCCGCGUGAGUGAUGAAGGUCUUCGGAUCGUAAAACUCUGUUAUUAGGGAAGAACAAAUGUGUAAGUAACUAUGCACGUCUUGACGGUACCUAAUCAGAAAGCCACGGCUAACUACGUG